GGGAUGACCUUCUUCCUCCGCCCAGCCGCCACAGUAAUUUGUCGUCAAGUCUGCCACAGGAGGAUAUUUUGUUCUGGGUUAACCUGCCUUUUUACCUCGCAGGUUGUUUAUCAAUAUUGUGUAAUUUUAAUUACUCCUAGAAUUUCCGCAUGUGUUAGCAGUAAUUAUUUGAAUUUGGUCUGUAAUAUUAUUAUCAUGUUGGACCUGUAAACUUAAUAUUUUAAGUCA